rnacentral:snRNA from 1 species
GGAUGUGAGGGCAUCUGUUACCCCACCCCACCGAUCUUCAGGGUUGACUUGGCUGAUCUGGCUGNCUAGGUGGGUGUCGCUUUCCUNACUCACUGCUUCCAUGUGCAUCCCUCCCAAAACUGUGCACUCAGUCAAAGAGGAUGACCUUCACCAAAAAAGGAGGACCAGUCUUCACUCAAAGGUGUAUAUAUAUGUGAGUAGCUGCGCUCCCCUGCUAGAACCUCCAAACAAGCUCUCAAGGUCCAUUUAAUCCUUUAUUCUCAAAUUAACUCAUAAACACAGUGUCUCAGGAGGAAGGGUUAAAUGCCAUACAUCUUUUUUUU